AGACGUGACAGGUACGAUGUGAUUGGCUGAACGCUAAUUAGCUACAGACACAUGUAUGAUGUGAUUGGCCACACACACAUUGGCUACAGACACAGGUAUGAUGUGAUUGGCCUCACUCUAAUUGGUUACAGACACAGGUAUGAUGUGAUUGGCCUCACUCUAAUUGGCUACAGACACAUGUAUGAUGUGAUUGGCCUCACUCUAAUUGGUUACAGACACAGGUAUGAUGUGAUUGGCUGAAGCUAAUUGGCUACAGACGCAGUAAUCGGUGUUGGGGGGGCACUCUGGCGCCCCCUGCUGGUCUGAGUAGGAACACGUCUCCUGGAGUUAUAAGAAACUGAAACAAUAAUCUGCAGUAUUAUGACGCCAUGUCAGGUGCUACACUUCCGCGUCGUUCGGCCUCGGCGGAUUUGGGGUCCUGCGGUUCAGGGGUCCCCCACACCCACUGACGCCCCGUCGAAACCCCGUAGAGUAGACUAAAUCCAAACGUACACAAACACACACACACACGCACACACAAACACGCCUGACGUAAACGGCUCGCGCGUCAGCACCUUGACGUUGGUGAAGUCGUAGUCGAACCGGGGAUCGAAGAAGGUGGCGGGGUUGAUCUUAAUGGGGGGUCCUUCGAGGGGCUCCGGCGGGGGGGGGCCCUCCACGGCCAGGGGCGCGCUGUACAUGUCCUCGUCGUCGGGGCCGCCUAGCGACAGGGAGCCAAGGCUGGGGUACUCGAGCUCCUGCAGGCCCUCGCGGCGGUAGAACUGCUUCAGGGCCGCGAUGUUCACCACGUCCUGCGGCAUCAGCUGCGACUCGGCGGCCGAGGCCUCCACGCGACACCCCGUCAGCGCGGAUAGCGCCUCCAGACACAGGUCCAUCCGCACGGCCAUCCGACAGACAGACAGAUAGACAGGCAGGCAGACAGACAGACAGAGAGACCUCUUAGACCACCAGUAGAUCACUCAGUCGGAGAUGAGGUCUGGGACGCGACCGUCUGGUGGACAGGACCCUCUGGAUCUCUGGAUCAGUUUCAGUUUCUGUUCACUCGGUCCGCCCCGCUGUGACUCACUCUGUCUCACUCUGUCUUUACCCGUAUCACUCCUCCAGGGUUUAAGAUAUGAAAGAUGGAUUAAUGAGUCUGGAGUUGGAGAGCCCUCAACUCAAGGCGAUCAUUCACUCGGUCUGAAGUGAAUGAAAGUUUGAC
ensembl:lncRNA